rnacentral:rRNA from 1 species
GACGAACGCUGGCGGCGUGCCUAAUACAUGCAAGUCGAGCGGACUUUCAAGAAGCUUGCUUUUUGAAAGUUAGCGGCGGACGGGUGAGUAACACGUGGGCAACCUGCCUGUAAGACGGGGAUAACUCCGGGAAACCGGGGCUAAUACCGGAUAAUAACUUUCUCCGCAUGAAGGAAGGUUGAAAGGCGGCGCAAGCUGCCGCUUGCAGAUGGGCCCGCGGCGCAUUAGCUAGUUGGUGAGGUAACGGCUCACCAAGGCGACGAUGCGGAGCCGACCUGAGAGGGUGAUCGGCCACACUGGGACUGAGACACGGCCCAGACUCCUACGGGAGGCAGCAGUAGGGAAUCUUCCGCAAUGGACGAAAGUCUGACGGAGCAACGCCGCGUGAGCGAAGAAGGUCUUCGGAUCGUAAAGCUCUGUUGUCAGGGAAGAACAAGUACCGUUCGAAUAGGGCGGUACCUUGACGGUACCUGACCAGAAAGCCACGGCUAACUACGUGCCAGCAGCCGCCGUAA